rnacentral:rRNA from 1 species
GAUGAACGCUGGCGGCGUGCCUAAUACAUGCAAGUCGAGCGAACAGACGAGGAGCUUGCUCCUCUGACGUUAGCGGCGGACGGGUGAGUAACACGUGGAUAACCUACCUAUAAGACUGGGAUAACUUCGGGAAACCGGAGCUAAUACCGGAUAAUAUAUUGAACCGCAUGGUUCAAUAGUGAAAGACGGUUUUGCUGUCACUUAUAGAUGGAUCCGCGCCGCAUUAGCUAGUUGGUAAGGUAACGGCUUACCAAGGCAACGAUGCGUAGCCGACCUGAGAGGGGGGGCGGCCACACUGGAACUGAGACACGGUCCAGACUCCGACGGGAGGCAGCAGUAGGGAAUCUUCCGCGAUGGGCGAAAGCCUGACGGAGCAACGCCGCGUGAGUGAUGAAGGUCUUCGGAUCGUAAAACUCUGUUAUUAGGGAAGAACAAAUGUGUAAGUAACUAUGCACGUCUUGACGGUACCUAAUCAGAAAGCCACGGCUAACUACGUG